GACAGAGGUGCCAAGCGUUAGGCGGAAUCACUGGGCUUAAAGCGUGUGUAGGCGGAUCGUUAAGUACCUUGUGAAAUCCCACGGCUUAACCGUGGAACGGCUGGGUAUACUGGCGAUCUUGAGCCACCUAGGGGCGAGCGGAACAAAUGGUGGAGCGGUGAAAUGCGUAGAUAUCAUUUGGAACGCCAACGGUGAAACAGCUCGCUGGGGUGUGCUGACGCUGAGACACGAAAGCCAGGGAGCGAACGGG
rnacentral:rRNA from 1 species